ensembl:lncRNA
AUGUUUUGUUUGGCAAGAACCAUUUCUUUGAACAAUUUCUUAUUAAUCAUCUAUAAUUUUUCACUUCUGACAGUGUUAUCACCAGUGCUUUCAGUAACUGCAUAUUUAUACAACAGCCAAACUUCAACCUGUAUUCAGUUUUUAUCUGUCUCCUGGGAAUGUAAUUUGGAAAAAAAGUUACCAAUGUAUUUACAACCAAAUUUCAGAUCUUCAACAUUACAGAAGGGUUUUGGAAGUCUGGAUUGCAGUGGGGCAUUUUAUGUUAAAAAAUCAUCUUCCCAUUCUGAUCUUUGCAAAAAUUUUUCUGUUCCGGCCGGGCGCGGUGGCUCAAGCCUGUAAUCCCAGCACUUUGGGAGGCCGAGGCGGGCGGAUCACGAGGUCAGGAGAUCGAGACCAUCCUGGCUGACACGGUGAAACCCCGUCUCUACUAAAAAUUACAAAAAACUAGCCGGGCGAGGUGGCGGGCGCCUGUAGUCCCAGCUACUGGGGAGGCUGAGGCAGGAGAAUGGCGUGAACCCAGGAGGCGGAGCUUGCAGUGAGCUGAGAUCCGGCCACUGCACUCCAGCCUGGGCGGCAGAGCGAGACACCGUCUCAAAAAAAAAAAAAAAAAAAAAAUUUUUCUGUUCCUUAAAUUUGUUCAGAGUAAGAGAUUGCAGAUUGCUUCUGUGGACUUAUUGAAGGUAAGUAUUAUCUCUUAAUAUUUGCAUCUCCAGUGUCUGGCACAUUGCUUGGUGGUGAGGAGGAACUCAAUAAAUGUUUGUUGGGUGAGUAAGUAAUAUUUGUGAAAGUGUUUUGUAGACUAUGAAACUGCACAAACGAAAGAUCACAAGGAUGAUUGCUUACAAAGCUCAGAAAUUGAAGUGGAACUCUUUUCUUAAUGUAAUACACAUAUACACUUUACACAUUUUCUCUUUGAAGAGUGGCUGCAUUUUUUUUUUUUUAAAUGGAACACUGGGCUACUUUUAAACAUUGAAAUCAAAAUGUACAUGCCCACUUUUUAUUAGUAGUUGCUCCAUUUGCUCUUCCAGCUUUGACUCAAAAACAUCUAUUUGUAUACUUAGUAUCACUGUCCUUGGUUACCUCCAUCCCUUGCCUUCUCACCCAUCUUUAGUCUGCCAUAUGGUCUUGACAUAGAUUUUCAACUGUUAGACUGUCAGACUUUCAAGGAUGCAUUUUAAGAAAUCAGUUUCUUUGAAAGCACUUGAACCGGAAGUCAAAUGGCAUGAUGUAAACCAAUAGUUUUUCAAUGAAGAAAUGAAAACCCUUGAUAAUUACAAAUAAGGAAUCUAACCUAUUGACACCAAUUUGGUUAUACUGUAUUGAUUCCUGCAAAAAUAUUAUGAGAGAGUGGGCUACUUAUACUCUACUGAUCAGAUUACAAGUAUACUUAGUAAAGACAGAAGUAGUAUAGGCAUGAAAGAGUUUACCUUAAAAUGUCACCUGAUGUUAGUUGUCUCUCACUGAUUCUAGUAAUUUCCUUUAUUCAGGUGGAUCUGGCUGUUGGUGGAGAUCCCUAGACUGCAUGAGGCCAUGGGCAUGAUCUGGAGACACAGCAGGUGAGUCCAACAUGUCAAGGGCAGAUGACAAUGAACAGAAAAAGCUGGUCUUGCUACUUUCUCAGUAACAGUGACUAGCAGUGUGUAUGAGGAGAUCAAAAUUCUAAAGGUUCCCACAAAUUUCUCAGUUUCCUAUUUAGGGCUUCAGGUCUUUGCAGAUAAUCUUCCAGAUAUGGUCUUUGUCUGUUUUCCUUAUUUUUCUGUAAACUGGU